GACGAAGGGGGCUAGCGUUGUUCGGAAUUACUGGGCGUAAAGCGAGUGUAGGUGGUUGUCAUAGUCAGGUGUGAAAGCCUUGAGCUCAACUCAAGAAAUGCACUUGAUACUAGGCGACUAGAGGACCGGAGAGGAUAGUGGAAUUCCCAGUGUAGUGGUGAAAUACGUAGAGAUUGGGAAGAACACCAGUGGCGAAGGCGGCUAUCUGGACGGUUUCUGACACUAAAACUCGAAAGCGUGGGGAGCAAACAGGAUUAGAUACCCUGGUAGUCCACGCCGUAAACGAUGGGUGCUAGACGUUGGCGGGCUUGCUCGUCAGUGUCGCAGCUAACGCGUUAAGCACCCCGCCUGGGGAGUACGGCCGCAAGGUUA
rnacentral:rRNA from 1 species